GUGGCGACCGGCGCACGGGUGAGUAACGCGUAUGCAACCUACCUAUCAGAGGGGAAUAACCCGGCGAAAGUCGGACUAAUACCGCAUAAAACAGGGACACCGCAUGGUGAUAUUUGUUAAAGAAAUUCGCUGAUAGAUGGGCAUGCGUUCCAUUAGGUGGUUGGUGAGGUAACGGCUCACCAAGCCGACGAUGGAUAGGGGAACUGAGAGGUUGGUCCCCCACACUGGUACUGAGACACGGACCAGACUCCUACGGGAGGCAGCAGUGAGGAAUAUUGGUCAAUGGGCGAGAGCCUGAACCAGCCAAGUCGCGUGAAGGAAGAAGGAUCUAUGGUUCGUAAACUUCUUUUGCAGGGGAAUAAAGUGCAGGACGUGUCCUGUUUUGUAUGUACCCUGAGAAUAAGGAUCGGCUAACUCCGUGCCAGCAGCCGCGGUAAUACGGAGGAUCCGAGCGUUAUCCGGAUUUAUUGGGUUUAAAGGGUGCGUAGGUGGUUUGAUAAGUCAGCGGUGAAAGUUUGCAGCUUAACUGUAAAAAUGCCGUUGAAACUGUCGGACUUGAGUGUAAAUGAGGUAGGCGGAAUGCGUGGUGUAGCGGUGAAAUGCUUAGAUAUCACGAAGAACUCCGAUUG
rnacentral:rRNA from 1 species